UACAAAAGACUCUUGAAGAAUGCCCCAACGGUGAUGUAAUUAUCUUAGCGGGAGAUCUAAAUGCCAGCCUAGGACAGGCAUACCCCGCGGAACAACAACACAUAGGUCGUUUCAUAAAAACAUCGAAACGAAACGACAAUGGAGAACGCCUCGCUAUGUUUGCAGCUACGAACGACCUGGCAAUUGCAAACACGAUGUACCAGAAGAAGAACCACCAGCUAUAUACCUGGAUAUCACGCGACAGACGAACCCGGAACCAGAUAGACUUCAUCCUGAUCAAGAGGAGAUGGCGCACAGCGAUCAACGAUAUCAGAGCAAGAAGUGACAAGAUUUGGAUCGACAGCGACCAUAGAAUGGUGAAAUGCAAUCUGAAGACGAAACUUCGUACAUAUGUCAAAACCCAUAGAACAGUUAGACUCAACCUCGAUGCGCUCCAACAUACAGGUACUUCCAGGAAAUACUGUACGGCCCUUUGUUCAGUAACCGAAUCUACCAGCAACGUGAACCAGAAAUGGGAAAUCCUAAGAGACAGUAUGAUAUCAUCGGCGAAAAAGAAUCUGGGAAUCUCGUGCACCGUAAGGAAACCUUGGAUAUCUGAUGAAACCCUCAAAGCCAUCAGAACACGUGAAAACCUCAAGGCUAAGGGCGCUGAACUCUCGAAAAUAGCUGCGCAACGAAAGCUGGUGAAAAAACUCAUCCGAAAAGACAAGAACUGCUACCUCGACAUGAAAUCGGAUCAAAUUGAGGACGCCAAUGAAAGAGGACACACUAGAGAGAUGUACCGCCUCAUUCGGACUUUGAGUGGUGCCAAAUCGAGUAGUUCACAAACAGUCAAAGGUCUCGAUGGCCAACAAAUCAGCGAUAGCAAGGAAGUCAUGCAACGAUGGGCAACUCACUUCUGCCAACUUCUGAAUGCUGACAACAGCCCGGCCCAACUGCCCAAGGUCGUCUCGAGUACUGGAGUCUUUACGGAUAUAGAUCAGGGAGAGCCGCUAAGAAGUGAGAUUGAGGUUGCACUAGCAAGCCUCCAUAACCACAGAGCUGGCGGGUGCGACCACAUCCCACCAGAACUGUUCAAAAAAGGAGGUGAGAGAAUAGUACUUCUUCUGAAAGACCUCUUCAAAAAUAUAUGGAGAGAAGAGGCAGUCCCAGAUGAAUGGCGAACGUCAAUACUCCUGCCGUUUCAUAAAAAAGGUGACAAACUAGUGUGCAGCAACUAUAGAGGAAUAUCUCUGCUCUGCAUUGGUUUAAAAAUCCUGGAAGCUAUACUACUCGCACGUUUUGACGACCUCUACGACUCAAACGCGAGAGAUAAUCAAGCCGGCUUUAAGAAGGGAAGAGGUUGUAGAGAUCAAGUUUUCGCCCUACGACAGAUAAUCGAGCAGCGAAGUGAGUACAAUAGACCCACAGUGAUGGUCUUCAUAGAUUUCAAAGCUGCCUUUGACAGCGUCAAGAGAGAUGCCAUAUGGAAGAUCCUGGAAGAUCACGGAAUGCCAGACAAGCUGCUUAGGAUUCUCAGGAACAUGUAUUCACAGUCCAACAGCAUCGUGCGAAGAAACGACAACCUAUCAGAGGCGUUCCACGUGUAAACAGGAGUCCGCCAGGGUGGCGUCCUGUCACCCUUCCUGCUCAACAUCCUCAUUGAUCGGAUCCUGAACGUCGCCACAGAUAACACGAAUCUAGGUAUCCGGCUAGAAACCAGUAUUACUGACCUGGACUAUGCAGAUGACAUUUGCCUGCUAGAGGACAAUCCAGAUGACGCCCAGAACUUACUGAAUCGAGUAGUUGACGCCGCAAAAUUGGUAGGACUCCAACUGAACGAGUCCAAGACUAAGUGCAUGUUCUCCUGUUGCGAGCCAACGGUGCUAUUUUGUAAUGGUGUUAAGCUAGAAAACGUCACUGAGUUCGACUACCUAGGAAGCCGCAUCACCUGUAACGGAGACAUUACCCCAGAAGUUCAGCACAGAAUAGCCAGCGCGACUAGAAAUGCUGCGCAGCUGAAGAAAUUCUGGAGUAACAGAAACAUAACCACCAGGACCAAAAGCAAAGUGUACAAAGCAUGCGUAAGAAGUGCUCUCCUAUACGGCGCAGAAACAUGGCCGGUUAAGAAAGGGGACCUGGCCAGGUUGUCCUCAUUCGAAACUAGGUGUGCAUGGCGAUUUGUCUACAAUGGAUUCGAAAUAGCUACCCAGGAACUGCUUCGCAAAGCACAACUUGACUCACCUAUGGACUAUGUGCUGAGGCGUAUGCGACUGAAGUGGUGUGGACAUGUGUUCAGAAUGCCGGAUGAGAGAGUGACGAAGGAGGCACUGUUCUUCGAGAAGGCGCCCACUUGGAAAAGACCAAGAGGUGGGGUCAGAAGAACAUGGAGAUCAACAGUCGCUGCUGACCUCGAACGUGUUCUGAAACCACCGAACAUGAGGGCAGACAAGUGGAGAUUGUGCUGGAAAGAUGCCUGCAUGGAGGCAGCCCUGGACAGAAAGCGAUGGCGUGCGAUAGUUCGGGACUCAAUAUGUGGCUGACAAUGGGCAGUAGUGCCUUAGUCAUGAUGAUGAUGAUGAUGAUGAAGGAUUUCGAACGAGGUACGCGGGGGCUUCACAUUUGAUCCCAGUGUGACUGGAAUCUUGGGUGGAAUCUUCAUUUCCAUCUUGAUUCUACUGGCUGUCGGGAUCUGCAGCAGAAACAGACUCCCCUGUGAAAAGAAUGAAUAUGCAGUGUAAAAUGACACACCGAAUCAAAUACAAACAACUUGAUUCAGGUCAUUGAAACGAUACGCAAAAUGGUACACUGCUCCACAGCUGGCCACGAAACUAGAAUGCAACCAGUACCCCGAACCUCCAUCCAUGAGCAAACGAAAUAACUUCAUCAAGGCCGAAAAUUUCUAGAACGACUGGCGUCAAGUUUUGAGAGAAGUUGAGAACACGACAGGAAAAUUUAGAGACUCGAGAGAAAUAGAAACUGGAAUUCAUACUGGAUCACUUACGAAACUUGAAAAACAAAUAAACUUCAUAAUAGCUAAC